rnacentral:tRNA from 1 species
GAUUAGAAAGCGAAUUAUUGCAUUUAGUUUCGGCCUAAACUCUGGUAUCUCUUACCUCUAAUUU